AAGAUGGAACAAUGUAGGUGAAAAGUUUAGGAUAUGAGAAGAAGAGCAGUAUAAGACAGUUCCAUGUGUUUUUGACUGCGCAGCCAGGGGAAUGAAGGGAAUAACUAUUCGACCACUGGUGGAGUUUCUUGAUGUCAAGAGGUCCAAUAAGAAACAACAAGCUGUCAGUGAAGAAAUCUAUUGUCGGUUGUUUGAUCAUGUGAAGACUGGAAUUGAAGAUGUUUGUGGACAUUGGGGUCACAACUUUUGGAGAGACAAGCAGAGACAUUAUCUCUGGAGUCCAUGAAUCUGCCCUAAGCACACAUCCAAAGGCUGCCAGAUUAAUUGGCUGUAAGUCCUAAAGAUGGGAGAGCCAACCUUGCUCCAUGCCUGAAAGGUUUAAGAAGUUUGAUGAUAAAUAUCUGCGGAAGCUUUUGAUUCGGGAAAACCAACCAAAGUCAAGUAUUGUAUCUUUAUAUAAAAAGCUUGAAAUAAAACAUGCCAUUGAGAUGGCAGAGACUGGGAUGAUAAGUACUGUCCCUACAUUUGCAUCUCUAAAUGAUUGUCGUGAAGAAAAAAUAAGGAAGGUCACGUCCAGUGAAACU
rnacentral:lncRNA from 1 species